CAGCCGCCGCGGGAACACGUAGGUGGCAAGCGUUGUCCGGAAUUAUUGGGCGUAAAGGGCUCGCAGGCGGUUCCUUAAGUCUGAUGUGAAAGCCCCCGGCUCAACCGGGGAGGGUCAUUGGAAACUGGGAAACUUGAGUGCAGAAGAGGAGAGUGGAAUUCCACGUGUAGCGGUGAAAUGCGUAGAGAUGUGGAGGAACACCAGUGGCGAAGGCGACUCUCUGGUCUGUAACUGACGCUGAGGAGCGAAAGCGUGGGGAGCGAACAGGAUUAGAUACCCCCGUAGUCCCUGUCUCUUAUAC
rnacentral:rRNA from 1 species